rnacentral:rRNA from 1 species
GUCGAACGGGUGUACGGGGAGGAAGGCUUCGGCCGGAAAACCUGCGCAUGAGUGGCGGACGGGUGAGUAACGCGUGGGCAACCUGGCCUGUACAGGGGGAUAACACUUAGAAAUAGGUGCUAAUACCGCAUAACGGGGGAAGCCGCAUGGCUUUUCCCUGAAAACUCCGGUGGUACAGGAUGGGCCCGCGUCUGAUUAGCCAGUUGGCAGGGUAACGGCCUACCAAAGCGACGAUCAGUAGCCGGCCUGAGAGGGCGGACGGCCACACUGGGACUGAGACACGGCCCAGACUCCUACGGGAGGCAGCAGUGGGGGAUAUUGCACAAUGGGGGGAACCCUGAUGCAGCGACGCCGCGUGGGUGAAGAAGCGCCUCGGCGCGUAAAGCCCUGUCAGCAGGGAAGAAAAUGACGGUACCUGAAGAAGAAGCCCCGGCUAACUACGUGCCAGCAGCCGCGGUAAUACGUAGGGGGCAAGCGUUAUCCGGAUUUACUGGGUGUAAAGGGGGCGCAGACGGCGAUGCAAGCCAGGAGUGAAAGCCCGGGGCCCAACCCCGGGACUGCUCUUGGAACUGCGUGGCUGGAGUG